ACACACACACACAUACAUAUAUAUAUAUAUACACACACACAUAUAUAUAGUGAUAUAUAUAUAUAUAUACAUAUAUAUCUAGUGUGUGUGUGUGUGUAUGCGUGUGUAUAUAUAUAUAUAUAUGUGUGUGUGUGUGUGU